rnacentral:rRNA from 1 species
CUGGUUGAUCCUGCCAGAGGUUACUGCUAUCGAGAUUCGACUAAGCCAUGCGAGUCGAAUGUUCUUCGUGAACAUGGCGAACUGCUCAGUAACACGUGGACAACCUACCCUUGGGUUCGGCAUAAUCCUGGGAAACUGGGGAUAAUACCGGAUAGGUCACAGCUGCUGGAAUGCACUGUGGCUCAAAGCUCCGGCGCCCAAGGAUGGGUCUGCGGCCUAUCAGGGUUGUAGUGGGUGUAAUGUACCUACUAGCCUACGACGGGUACGGGUUGUGAGAGCAAGAGCCCGGAGAUGGAUUCUGAGACACGAAUCCAGGCCCUACGGGGUGCAGCAGGCGCGAAAACUUUACAAUGCGGGAAACCGUGAUAAGGGAAUCUCGAGUGCCAGCAUAUAAUGUUGGCUGUCCAGAUGCCUAAAAAGCAUCUGUUAGCAAGGGCCGGGCAAGACCGGUGCCAGCCGCCGCGGUAACACCGGCGGCCCGAGUGGUAACCGCUAUUAUUGGGUCUAAAGGGUCUGUAGCCGGCCAGGUAAGUCCCUUGGGAAAUCUGGCAGCUCAACUGUCAGGCUGCUAGGGGAUACUGUUUGGCUUGGGACCGGGAGAGGUGAGAGGUACCUUGGGGGUAGGGGUGAAAUCUUGUGAUCCUCGGGGGACCACCAGUGGCGAAGGCGUCUCACCAGAACGGGUCCGACGGUAAGGGACGAAAGCUAGGGGCACGAACCGGAUUAGAUACCCGGGUAGUCCUAGCCGUAAACGAUGCUCGCUAGGUGUCAGUCACGGUGCGACCGUGAUUGGUGCCGUAGGGAAGCCGUGAAGCGAGCCACCUGGGAAGUAUGGCCGCAAGGCUGAAACUUAAAGGAAUUGGCGGGGGAGCACUAC